rnacentral:misc_RNA from 1 species
UUAAGUUCAGCGGGUAGCCCUACCUGAUUUGAGGUCAAUGUCAAAAAGAUAUGGGGUGUUGUGAGCGGGCCUCGAGACCGGCCGAGACGAAACUUAUCACGUCAGGCGUAGGUCAAGAAGUUCCCACUGAGUCAUUUGAGGCGAGCCUUGUGAGGCAGACGCCCAGGUCCAAGUCCACCAACGGUUAGAAAACCCUGGGG